rnacentral:rRNA from 1 species
ACGCUCGACACCUACUGGAGGCAGCAGUCGGGAAUAUUGCGCAAUGGAGGAAACUCUGACGCAGUGACGCCGCGUGCAGGAAGAAGGUUUUUCGGAUUGUAAACUGCUUUAGACAGGGAAGAAAGAAAUGACAGUACCUGUAGAAUAAGCUCCGGCUAACUACGUGCUAGCAGCCGCGGUAAUCUGAGCGGGCUGGCAAGGC